rnacentral:rRNA from 1 species
UACGGGGGGGGCAAGCGUUGUUCGGAAUUACUGGGCGUAAAGGGCUCGUAGGCGGCCAACUAAGUCAGACGUGAAAUCCCUCGGCUUAACCGGGGAACUGCGUCUGAUACUGGAUGGCUUGAGUUUGGGAGAGGGAUGCGGAAUUCCAGGUGUAGCGGUGAAAUGCGUAGAUAUCGAGAGGAACACCUGCGGCGAAGGCGGGUUGCUGGGCCGACACUGACGCUGACAGCGCGAAAGCUAGGGGAGCGAACGGG